CGUUGAAACGGCGUUUUUCGUACGAUCACCGAAGUUAAGCCAUUUUGAGCCGGGUCAGUACAUAGAUGGGUGACCGCUUGAGAAUACUAGGUGCUGUAAG